AUCCAGGGCGAAAAAAACCCUGCGAAAAUUAACCUACGAACUAAAACCUACGACAAAAAAUCCAGAGCGAGGCCUGCAGGGUGCCCUCGCCAGAACCACGCCAGCCGCCCUCGCACCGAUCCCUCGCUCUUCGCCGCCCUCGUACCGAUUCCUCGUGCUUCGCCGCCGCCGAUCCCUUCGACGCCGCCAAUCCCUUCGCCGCCGCCGAUCUCAUAGCUACGAUCCGCUUGAGGAGCCGCCGCCGAUCUCGUCGCUACGAUCAGCUUGGGGAGCCGCCGCCGAUCCCCUUCAGGAUCCGCCGGCGAUCGCCAUCCAGGGCACAGUCUACACGUUCUAGCGCCAAGAUCCUUUCCCCUUCCUCCUGCUAUGGUCGGGGGUCGGCGGCUCGCCGGUGUGGCGCAUGGCAGCGGAGAGAAGGGGGGCAAGAACAGCGGGGCAGAGUUCUUCCGGGAGGACGGCGUGUUGCACGACAUGGACGCGUAACUCAACUACCUGUCCCUCGAGCAUGACUCCUGGGACACCAAGCCAUGGACGGCUUGGUAUUACUUCUUGGAUCCUUCCUCCCUUCUCUGUAUUUAGAAACUGAAAUUUAAUAAGGCUGUGACGCAAUUUUGUUGAUUUGUUGCUACCUGUAUUAGGCUGAUCUGCUAUGGUUGUGGUUCCUUGUCGUAGAGUGCCAACUACGGACUCCGCCAUGUCCAACCACCUACACAUUUAGGUUUGUUUUAAAAUCGAAUAAAUUCUUCCACUCAGAUUGUGGGAAAUAAGGUGAAUCAAAUUGGUUUUCAUAUUUGGCCCAAUUAGCUCAAAGGUUCUACUAUGAAUCUGAUGUAUUGAAGUCACUGUCUUCUAGCUAUAUGUUGUCUACAAAUUUCCCUUUUCACCUUUUUUUUUGUAAUGUGAUUCCAAACUCUUAAGGUUAACCACUGCCACUAUUUCUCUAAUGAAUAUGCCAUGUGCAUAGGAAAGGUGCACCAUUUUUUCUUUAUCUUUAUCUUAGUUAAAUCCAUCCAGAGUGUAUGGAGGAACUAAAGACAUAUAGCUGAACAUAGAGCAUCAAUCCUCUUAUUGUUUAUUGUUCAUAAAAUUCUAUAUUAGAGUACCAUAUCAAUUCCAUUGUGACUUAAACGACGAAAUGCAUGAAAACUAUGUUUACUUUUCAACGUUUUUCAGACUAUUUGUCAUGUAUCCUUACUUACCGAGCAAUAGGGUUGUGGCAGAUGCUGGUAGCGCAAAAUGGAAUCCUAGAAAGAGGUCUAAUUGAUCAGCUGUGUUGAUGGACAGUUACCUGCCCAAUGUAAAUUAGAUACUAAAGGGAAAGGCAUGAAUGCGUAAGUUUUGUAGCAGUAGAUUCAGAACGAUGUUCUUUAUGCAUUUAAAAAAAAUCGUACAAUUCUUGAACAUGUUCAGAAUUAUGCAAUCAUCUCCUCAGAAUAGUGAGACAUUUCUUGGCUUAAUUUGUAUAUCCAAACUGGUGCCUUUUAGACUUGCCUGAUACAUAUCUUUGCAGGGAAAUUCACAGGGGUUCACCUCAACUGUGAAAUCAGUAGCUAGCUAUACUAUUGGCACCAUUGUUCAUGAGCAAUGUCCUACACAUGACCAGUUUUAUCACCUCUUCGGCUCUUCCUGAUGUUGCUUGUGGAUCUUGGUAACUCUGUUAAGUCUCUCUUUCUACAAUCUAAGUUGCUGCUUCACAGAAGAGAACCUCUAAAUUUACAAGUUUUAGUUUCCUUCUGGUGGGCAUCAUCUUGGUCAGCCCUUCUCUUCCUAAUUAUGCUCACAAUAAUUAGUACAUUGUCGGUAACUGCAUAUUCAAAUUGACAUAUUUCUUCUUUGCAUAUUUGAGCUAACUUUCGCACUUCCCUGGCAAGAAGUAUGACCUGGCCGACCUCAAGCAGCAUGAGUUGACCCUUCAAUGCACGCUUCCUCUUCUACUGUACUAUCUGUGCUUACCAUUAGCCAACAGGAUUGUGGUUACCAGGAGACGUCAUAGAGACAAAGGACAUCUAUCGCAGGCGAGCCACUAACAAUUUUCCAUGAAAGGUGGCCUCCUUUGCUGCUCGUGUGAAUCGCGGCCCGAGUGUGCACCUGAAUAUAUCUUUCUUCGUGGAUUCUCCUUGUAUGCAUCGAUCCCUUCUCACGAAAUUUUAUGCCCCGCCAGUCAGCCUGCGAGGAUGCAGCGGACGCGAGCUUGCAGUGGUUGUUCCAUCGGUGCUCCAGCGUUGGCAUGAUGGCCUAUGCCAUCCUCCUUGGUGUACCCCACAUUGGCAGUGGCAACUUCGUCUGUGACGAGCUAACCUCCAUUGGGCCGCUGCCGUGCAGUUGAGUGAGAGUUGACAAUCUCUCCUUACCCGCUCUGAGAAAUGCAAACACUGGUUGGAGUUCCCGCAGAUUUAGAAUGAUGAUGAGGUAGCUGUCCAGGGCUGUGGUAUCUGCUCUGCUUUCCAGAAAAGCGAAUGCAGUCACGGAGCUUCCUGCAGAUUUUCACAUGGUGGGCGGGUGAUAUGCUGAAAAACUCGUGAUGAUCACAGUACGCCCUUACAUUGCUCUGGUCAUGUCCAUGGGGAGGGAACAAGGAGUGAUUUUCAUAUGCGAAAAGGGAGAAUGGAAUUCAGGGAGGUGUUGUCUGCACCUUUCAUAGGGAUGGAUGACUUCUUGUCAUGAAUGAUCACCCUUUUACCUAAUGAUUUCCGGAACUGUUCAUGUGGUGCCUUCGUUGGUCCUUUUUUUCACCGAAAAAGCUUGUUUUUUUUUCUUUGCAGGUACUGGAUCAUGGAGAUUGCAAUAUCUCAAAGCUUUAGAAUUGAUCUGCUUGUAUUCCAAGUUUGAUUUUUUUUUUGCUGAUCGUUUCCUUGUGGUGAGAUUAUGAUUUUUUGUGUGCCUUUCCCUGAAGAAUUUUUUUUGUUUUUUUAAUGUGAAUUUGGGAUAGCAUGGAGAAUGUUGCUGUCUGUCCCGCAGGUGCUGGACAUGAUUCUCGAAGAAGAUAUAGGUGUGCAUGCUUCACAUCUUGUACAUGCUUACGCAAAGUGGGAUUUUGUCCAUGUUUUGAUGAGCUCAAUUUCUUAUGCUACUGUUUGCUUCUGCCUGAAGGAUACAUAUGGUGUGUUUUUUGAGAGGUGGGUAUGGAUGAGGUGAGGACGUCUGUUAGUGUGUCAUUCUUGUUGAGGACCUAAUCUGUUAGGGGUGGUAUAUAUUAAGUGUUGAUGAUGACAUGGUUAUUUUGAUUGGUGUGGUUGCCUCAAAGUAAUGCCCUGCCACUCCUUGGGGGGCGUGAGCGGAUAUUUACGCUUCAUAGGAUCGGAGGGAGCAUGUCUCCAACAGAAGAGGGGAUGAAGCUAGGAGAAAAAGAAGACUUUGAUCUGGUUCUUCAGAGUGGUACAUCGAGGAACAGGUACAUGGUGUUUCUCAAUGGUCAGUCAGAGUCUUUGAGUAUUAGUUUGGGAUGCCGAAGAGAUAACACAUGAUGUUCUAUUGCUUGGGAAUUGAAGUAUAGUGUUUACCAGUAUACUGGCAUGCAUUGUUUUUCUGAAGGAUAUACUUGUUUCCUUUAGUUGAAAUACAGAAAAUUCACAAAAAGGAUUGAAUCUCACCCAAUGAUUAAACAAGCGUCGUUCAUUUAAAGCGUGUGGUUUCUUCAUCAAGGAUUGAAAUAAUCUUUGCUAUUAGGACUCCAUGGAGAACAAUAAUAUAAUUGUCACAUGGUGUGACCUUUAUUGGCUAAUUGUACAACUUAUGAUCUGAUAGAGUUUAGGGAUGUAUAUCCAUGUAUUUUUUAGAUGAAGAAGCAAAGAAGAAAACAACUAUAUCAAGGAUUUCACACGGUGAAAUGUAGAAACAAAAAACACAGUGGCGUAUCAGUUGCAACUUGCAACCUGGACUUUUAGGAUAGAAGAGUAAAUGAAUUGCUGGUUUCUUCAAAAGUUAAUAACGGACACGGUAGCGUAUCA